CCUAGAAAAAAUCUGAGGCGUAGCCUGCCCAGUGAUUUAAAAAAAAGCCUAAAAGCUUGAAAAAAAAUUAAAAGGACGCAGUAUUCUGACUGUGGUAAUGUAGCAUAAUAAUUCGCCACUUAAUUAGUGGAUAGUAUGAACGGCUAAACGAAUCCUACACUUUCUAAAAGAGAGAAGAAAUAAAAUUUAAAUAAUAGUGAAGAUGCUAUUUAAAAUUGUAAGACGAAAAGACCCUAUAGAGCUUAACUAUAAACUAUAUUAAAAAAUAUAGAACGGUAGUUUAGUUGGGGCGACUGCCUUUUAAAAAGAACAAAGGCAAGCAAAGUUAAUGACUAACUUACUGUAAAAUAAAUGAAUUUAACAGUUAUAAAAAUAGGCCAUAAUGACCCGUUUACUAAAGAAAUAAAGUCAACGAUUAAUAAAUAAAAGCUACCUUAGGGAUAACAGAAUAAUUUUGUUUUAGAGACCCUAUCGAAAACAAAGUUUGUCACCUCUAUGUUGAAUUAAGAUGACCUGACAAAGCAGCAAUUGUCAAAGGUAGGUCUGUUCGACCUUUAAAAU
rnacentral:rRNA from 1 species